rnacentral:rRNA from 1 species
GGAACAGGACGUCAUAGAGGUGAGAAUCCCGUUUGGCGAGGAUACCUUUUCUCUGUAAGACUUUUUCGAAGAGUCGAGUUGUUUGGGAAUGCAGCUCAAAGUGGGUGGUAAAUUCCAUCUAAAGCUAAAUAUUGGCGAGAGACCGAUAGCGAACAAGUACAGUGAUGGAAAGAUGAAAAGAACUUUGAAAAGAGAGUGAAAAAGUACGUGAAAUUGUUGAAAGGGAAGGGCAUUUGAUCAGACAUGGUGUUUUUUGCAUGCACUCGCCUCUCGUGGGCUUGGGCCUCUCAAAAAUUUCACUGGGCCAACAUCAAUUCUGGCAGCAGGAUAAAUCAUUAAGAAUGUAGCUACUUCGGUAGUGUUAUAGCUUUUUGGAAUACUGUUAGCCGGGAUUGAGGACUGCGCUUCGGCAAGGAUGUUGGCAUAAUGGUUAAAUGCCGCCCGUU